AGAGCGCGAGACAAGACGGGACAUCCUACAAAGCCUAACAUUUCUGCCAGUAUUACAGAAUGGACAGCUUAGGAUACCACACGGAGGGGAGUGAAGGAGCCUUGGGGAUGCCUGAAGGAGGGGCAGUGAAGGAGGGAGGCCUGGAGGUGAAGGAAAAUGCAGAAAAUUCCUCUAAUACUGAGCGCUUCUCUGGUCAGACCAUCCUUCACUGAAUAUUUGGACCGAGGCUUCAAGAUACGAGUGAGCCACGCGACCCUCCAAAACAGCGCCAUCCUGCCCACUUGUGGUGUAGCAUCCCUGAUCGUACCCCUCCCUCCCUCCUCCUCCUCCUCCUCCUCUUCCAGCAAAGAAGAGACCUUUGACCAGCUGGUGGACAGGGUCCGCGCCUUUAGCCGAGUACACGCGGGGGGCGUUGUAAUACUGGUGGGUGCUGUGUUUGGCAUGGAGGAGGUGAACGGGGUGUUGGGGAAGUUAUCAAGGCGGUUACUACCACGCCCUCCCCUGCUACUGCCUGCCCACGGGGAAGCCCAGGCUGCCGCGCACAUACAACUACUGGCAAAGGCGGUGGUGGGGGGGCGGGAGGGCGUAGUCUGGAGGAGGCUGGCGGGGGUUAUGGAGGGGGUCCUGGCAUCCCCCGUCUCCCCCCAUUCCCUCGCUACCCCCAUUGGCCUCUCACCGGCACAAGUAGCGGCGGGGCUGGAAGUGGGCGGGAGUUUAGCAGGCUUCGCUAAGAUUGGGCUGGAAGUUAACGGAGGAGGAGGCGCGGCACGUGACAAUGCAAUACAGGGCUUACAGAGGGCAGGCGUGACUGGGCCCUACCUCGCCGCCCUUGUCAACACCUUAGAGAGAGAUACGCUCACCUUGUAGAGAGAGAGAGAGAGAGAGGAUAUAUUUUAAUUUUCUUUCGUUAUAUAUUCAAUUUAUUUAUUUAUUUAUUAUUUUAACGGUUAUUUUCUUUUCUCUAUUUUUCGUUUCGUUUUUUUUUAUGGAAUGUUGAAUUUUACCUAUAUUUGUUUACAUUUUUUUUUAUCAAUUUCUUUCGAUUUUAUAUUCAGUUCAUUUAUUUAUCUUUAUUGUUUUGAGACCAUUAAUUUAUUUUAUUUAUUUUUUCGUUCAUUUUCAUAAUGGGAAUAUUUACUUUUAUAUAUAUUUUUCAAUUAUUUUUCAUUUCUUCGAUUUAAGUGUGUCUAAGUACUUGCAAGGAUCAUUUAUUUAUUUAUUUACUUUUAUUUUCCGUCCGUUUUUAUUUAUUUAUUUAUUUAUUUAUUUAUCUUUUUUUAUAAUGGAAACUUAUUUCAUCUUUUUUCCCGUUUUCUGUUACUUGUUCAUG